GAGUCUGUACCUUAGCAGUCAAGGACCAUUCUUAUAAAGUGGCAUACGCUGGUUCGACUCCAGCCAGACUCA
rnacentral:tRNA from 1 species